CCAUCGUAUAAAUAUCUCAAGGGAGAUAACUAAACUAACUUCUAGCUUACAUGGUAGAAAUGUUGUGCAUAUGGGUCUUUGAUCUUAACAGAAAUAGACAGUUGGAAACGCUACGCAACUGCAGCACAAUUUUUUAGAAAGGCGGCAAAUUUUGUGCGGGAAAUCAAGUGUAGUUUCUGAAAUAAAGUCUGUUAGUACUCUUAUGUUCAAAAUACUCAUUGAUUGCAGAGAUUAAUAUCUCAUAUGAAAAAUGGAGUCUAUCCAAGAGUUUCUGAAAGAGAGUUUGUUAACAGUUGAUUUAGGUACUGUUACCAAAGCAGAACUGAAGCAAAUGUAUUUGAAAAAACAAGGUAUUGCCAAGAUGUCUAAGGAAGAGAAAAAACUGUUUUCUUCUGCUGUUGUAUCUGCAUAUACUGAUUUCGU